GACAGAGGUGCCAAGCGUUAGGCGGAAUCACUGGGCUUAAAGCGUGUGUAGGCGGGCGCCUAAGUACCUUGUGAAAUCCCCCGGCUCAACCGGGGAACGGCUUGGUAUACUGGGCGUCUUGAGCCAACUAGGGGCUGCCGGAACAAAUGGUGGAGCGGUGAAAUGCGUAGAUAUCGUAAGGAACGCCAGUGGCGAAAGCGAGUCUCUGGGCAGCAUCUGACACUGAGGCACGAAGGCCAGGGGAGCAAACGGG
rnacentral:rRNA from 1 species